GGGUGGGUAUGCCUAGAAGCGAGGGCAAGAGUCUGUAAAACUCCCACAUUAGAAACACCGCAGGUGCAAUUCCUGCUCCACCCA
rnacentral:tRNA from 1 species